CAAAAACAUAACUAUAUGAAUCUACUAUAUAUAGCUAUUUCUGCUCAAUGAUAAUUUAAAUAGCCGCAGUAAUUUGACUGUGCUAAGGUAGCAUAAUCAAUUGACUUAUAAUUAAAGUCUGGUAUGAAGGAACACAUGGGGGUUUACUGUCUCCUGAGAGGCCUUUAAAAUUAAUUAUUGGGUGAAAAUGCCCAUUUAUAAAUAAUAGACGAGAAGACCCUAGAAAUUUUUAGUAGAAAGAUAAUUUUACCUUUUUGUUUUUGUUGGGGCGACAUAGUAACAAAAGAAAACUUACUGUAUAAUAUGUGUCGAUUUUUAUUAAGAAAAAAUAAAUUACUCUAGGGAUAACAGCAUAAUAUUUAAAAGUUUGUGACCUCGAUGUUGGAUUAGGGAAUAAUAACCCAGAAGGUGACUUAUUUAGCUCUGUUCGAGCAAAAUCCCCUACGUGAUCUGA
rnacentral:rRNA from 1 species